GACGAACGCUGGCGGCGUGCCUAAUACAUGCAAGUAGAACGCUGAAGGAGGAGCUUGCUUCUCUGGAUGAGUUGCGAACGGGUGAGUAACGCGUAGGUAACCUGCCUGGUAGCGGGGGAUAACUAUUGGAAACGAUAGCUAAUACCGCAUAAUAGUAGAUGUUGCAUGACAUUUGCUUAAAAGGUGCAAUUGCAUCACUACCAGAUGGACCUGCGUUGUAUUAGCUAGUUGGUGGGGUAACGGCUCACCAAGGCGACGAUACAUAGCCGACCUGAGAGGGGGAUCGGCCACACUGGGACUGUGACACGGCCCAGACUCCUACGGGAGGCAGCAGUAGGGAAUCUUCGGCAAUGGACGGAAGUCUGACCGAGCAACGCCGCGUGAGUGAAGAAGGUUUUCGGAUCGUAAAGCUCUGUUGUAAGAGAAGAACGAGUGUGAGAGUGGAAAGUUCACACUGUGACGGUAUCGUACCAGAAAGGGACGGCUAACUACGUG
rnacentral:rRNA from 1 species